rnacentral:rRNA from 1 species
GCAAGUCGAACGGUAACAUUUCUAGCUUGCUAGAAGAUGACGAGUGGCGGACGGGUGAGUAAUGCUUGGGAACUUGCCUUUGCGAGGGGGAUAACAGUUGGAAACGACUGCUAAUACCGCAUAAUGUCUUCGGACCAAACGGGGCUUCGGCUCCGGCGCAAAGAGAGGCCCAAGUGAGAUUAGCUAGUUGGUAAGGUAACGGCUUACCAAGGCGACGAUCUCUAGCUGUUCUGAGAGGAAGAUCAGCCACACUGGGACUGAGACACGGCCCAGACUCCUACGGGAGGCAGCAGUGGGGAAUAUUGCACAAUGGGGGAAACCCUGAUGCAGCCAUGCCGCGUGUGUGAAGAAGGCCUUCGGGUUGUAAAGCACUUUCAGUUGUGAGGAAAAGUUAGUAGCUAAUACCUGCUAGCCGUGACGUUAACAACAGAAGAAGCACCGGCUAACUCCGUGCCAGCAGCCGCGGUAAUACGGAGGGUGCGAGCGUUAAUCGGAAUUACUGGGCGUAAAGCGCACGCAGGCGGUUUGUUAAGCUAGAUGUGAAAGCCCCGGGCUCAACCUGGGAUGGUCAUUUAGAACUGGCAGACUAGAGUCUUGGAGAGGGGAGUGGAAUUCCAGGUGUAGCGGUGAAAUGCGUAGAUAUCUGGAGGAACAUCAGUGGCGAAGGCGACUCCCUGGCCAAAGACUGACGCUCAUGUGCGAAAGUGUGGGUAGCGAACAGGAUUAGAUACCCUGGUAGUCCACACCGUAAACGCUGUCUACUAGCUGUGUGUGCCUUUAAGGCGUGCGUAGCGAAGCUAACGCGCUAAGUAGACCGCCUGGGGAGUACGGCCGCAAGGUUAAAACUCAAAUGAAUUGACGGGGGCCCGCACAAGCGGUGGAGCAUGUGGUUAAUUCGAUGCAACGCGAAGACCUUACCUACACUUGACAUGCUGAGAAGUACUA